AUACGGAGGGUGCAAGCGUUAUCCGGAUUCACUGGGUUUAAAGGGUGCGUAGGCGGAUUUGUAAGUCCGUGGUGAAAUCUCUAAGCUUAACUUGGAAAUUGCCGUGGAUACUAUAAGUCUUGAAUAUUGUGGAGGUUAGCGGAAUAUGUCAUGUAGCGGUGAAAUGCAUAGAUAUGACAUAGAACACCAAUUGCGAAGGCAGCUGGCUACACAACUAUUGACGCUGAGGCACGAAAGCGUGGGGAUC
rnacentral:rRNA from 1 species